CUUGGAGGUGAGAUCUGUAAGUGUCAGGGAUGGAAAUAAUGGAGAAUUCAUUCUCACUGUCUUAGUGAGAGCUGAAGAUCUUGAAAGACCUGCUCACAUUCAAUACAAGCAAGUUAGAAUCAGUCAUGUAGACCACAGGAAAGCAAGAGAAACACAACGUGCCAAGUAAGAGCCAAGAACCCAGUCUGGGAGGAAAAAAGAUAGACACCAAGUGAAAAUUUUUAAAAAUACUUCCUGCAAGUGCCUCUUCUAUGGAAGACUGAUAAGAACAUGAAUAAAAUAAGGCAGAUCUCAAAGAUAAGAGCCUACAGGGCAGUAGGUGGCCACCCCUGAAACUCAAAGCUACAUAUUUUGCUUCUAUCCUAAUUCAUAUUCCUGGAGGAACCCUGGAUGGCCUAGCUUGGAUCAAACACCUGCCUGGAUCCAUUCAAUGGCUUCUAGGAGAAAGGGAUCAGAUUGGACCACAGGGCUGCCUGAAGGGGUGGCCCGCAACAAAUGGAGAAAUGGAAGAGCAGCCAGAAGUUGUCUGCUUCACCCAGUCACAGACUGACCCUUAACCGGUUUACAGCCCUAAGUCUAACCAUAAACUGAGCUGCACAUAAAUCUUAAUCCUGGCCCUGGAAUUCCACUUACACUGAUCUUGUGAAACACAUAUAACUAAUAAAGUGAAGUCGUCUCUGCA